GACGAACGCUGGCGGCGUGCUUAACACAUGCAAGUCGAACGGAAAGGCCCUGCUUUUGUGGGGUGCUCGAGUGGCGAACGGGUGAGUAACACGUGUGUAACCUGCCCUUGUCUUUGGGAUAACUUCAGGAAACUGGGGCUAAUACCGGAUAGGAGCUCCUGCUGCAUGGGGGGGGUUGGAAAGUUUCGGCGGUUGGGGCUAGACUAGAGGGUUACCCGCUGGUUAGUGGGGUUGUGGCUUACGAAGGGUUUGACGGGUAGCCGGCCUGGGAGGGUGGCCGGCCACAUGGGGACUGAGGUACGGCCCAGACUCGAACGGGAGGCAGUAGUGGGGAAUCUUGCACAAUGGGCGGAAGCCUGAUGCAGCGACGCCGCGUGCGGGAUGACGGCCUUCGGGUUGUAAACCGCUUUCGCCUGUGACGAAGCGUGAGUGACGGUAAUGGGUAAAGAAGCACCGGCUAACUACGUG
rnacentral:rRNA from 1 species